AUGGCCAAUUGAUUUUGGAAUAUUUAUGACAAUCUUCAUUCCCAACUAUGCAGAGCCCUAUCAAGUCUGAAAGGGGAAAGAAGUAAGAUUGGAGUUAAGGGGGAAGGAGAAGAAAUGCAUCACCCCAGAGAGAAACCUGAAGGAAUUACACUGAGAAAAUUACAGAAAGGGAGAGCCAGUUGCUACUGAUGGCAUCUGAGAACCUGGACUAAUACAAGUACUGAGGCAGAGAGUGUGGCCAAUACACAGCAGAAAUCACACUGUAAAAUAAGAAGAAAAGAUGUUAAUAAACAUGGCCAAAUGGAGGUUCGUGACUAUAGAAGGCAUUUCUUGGCAGCCAGAAGUACCAGCAGGAAAGAAGGGAGUCUUGGGUGUGGAAAGAUUUCUCAGAAGUAGCUGGGAUGUCACUAAAGUCUUGACUUCAGGUUCAGCUGACCAUGAGCAGCCAAGUCGCCUCUUCAGCCAUCCCUUCUUCUCCUGGUAAGAAACUAGAAGGCUGGCCUG